CACGGGGAGGUAGUGACGAAAAAUAACGAUACGGGACUCAUCCGAGGCCCCGUAAUCGGAAUGAGUACACUCUAAACCCUUUAACAAGGAUCAAUUGGAGGGCAAGUCUGGUGCCAGCAGCCGCGGUAAUUCCAGCUCCAAUAGCGUAUAUUAAAGUUGUUGCGGUUAAAAAGCUCGUAGUCGAAUCUGUGUUCCGCGCCGCUGGUUCAUCGCUCGCGGUGUUCAACUGGCGUGUCCGCGGAACGUCCUGCCGGUGAGUUUAGCUCGCAAGAGCGGCUCAAUUUGAAUCCCAUCGCGGUGCUCUUCACCGAGUGUCGAGGUGGGCCGGCACAUUUACUUUGAACAAAUUAGAGUGCUUAAAGCAGGCUAAAAUUACGCCUGAAUAUUGUGUGCAUGGAAUAAUGGAAUAGGACCUCGGUUCUAUUUUGUUGGUUUUCGGAACCCCGAGGUAAUGAUUAAUAGGAACGGAUGGGGGCAUUCGUAUUGCGACGUUAGAGGUGAAAUUCUUGGAUCGUCGCAAGACGGACAGAAGCGAAAGCAUUUGCCAAAAACGCUUUCAUUGAUCAAGAACGAAAGUUAGAGGUUCGAAGGCGAUCAGAUACCGCCCUAGUUCUAACCAUAAACGAUGCCAGCUAGCGAUCCGCCGAAGUUCCUCCGAUGACUCGGCGGGCAGCUUCCGGGAAACCAAAGCUUUUGGGUUCCGGGGGAAGUAUGGUUGCAAAGCUGAAACUUAAAGGAAUUGACGGAAGGGCACCACCAGGAGUGGAGCCUGCGGCUUAAUUUGACUCAACACGGGAAAUCUCACCAGGCCC
rnacentral:rRNA from 1 species